CGUGGGUUGAGUGAAUUACCCCGACAACGUGUUAUCAUUAUUUCAUGUCUAAAUAUAGUCUGAAUCAGAGAGUCAGUAGGGUCAUUAUUUCAUGUACGUAUGUCAAGUUAGUACUUAUGCAUGAUUACUGAUGCCCGAUGUAUGUACUCUAAAGUAAUAAAGCCAAGUUUAUAAGUUGAUCAACA